rnacentral:rRNA from 1 species
CCUACGGGAGACAGCAGUGAGGAAUAUUGGUCAAUGGACGAGAGUCUGAACCAGCCAAGUAGCGUGAAGGAUGACUGCCCUAUGGGUUGUAAACUUCUUUUAUAAAGGAAUAAAACGAGGCACGUGUGCCGUUUUGCAUGUACUUUAUGAAUAAGGAUCGGCUAACUCCGUGCCAGCAGCCGCGGUAAUACGGAGGAUCCGAGCGUUAUCCGGAUUUAUUGGGUUUAAAGGGAGCGUAGAUGGGUUGUUAAGUCAGUUGUUAAAGUUUGCGGCUCAACCGUAAAAUUGCAAUUGAUACUGGCAGUCUUGAGUACAGUUGAGGUAGGCGGAAUUCGUGGUGUAGCGGUGAAAUGCUUAGAUAUCACGAAGAACCCCGAUUGCGAAGGCAGCUUACUAAACUGUGACUGACAUUGAUGCUCGAAAGUGUGGGUAUCAAACAGGAUUAGAUACCCGAGUAGUC